AUUUUUUUCUUUGUUGCAGAAAGGGCUCCAAGGAAUAUGCGGAAGCUGUGAUUUAAAGGGGUCGACCUUCCGUGCCUCCCUGGCUGGAAACCAACAUCUGCGCGCACCCAUCUGAUUACUUGUUGGAGAUUUUGUCUUGUUGGCUUGGGAGUCCUGGGGGGCGAUAAGGGAGUACGUCCUGAGGAACAGACCACAAACAAAGGACACAAUCUACCCCUUGGACCAGUCUGGAUGACUUCUCUGAUGUACCUCUACCUGGCUUGGAUCAGACACUGUUCUGUGAUGGAAAUUCAAGGAUGGUGAAUGGUUCUCGUCAAUCUGGCUAUGCUGUAGUUUUGACAGAUUCUGUUAUAGAGGCCGAGCCCCUCCCAUCUCACUACAGUGCCCAAGCGGCUGAGCUACAUGCACUCACACAUGCUUGUCAACUCUCAAAGGACAGGUUAGUAAACAUUUACACUGAUUGUAAAUAUGCCUUUGGGAUUGUACACACCACUGGUCAAUUAUGGAAAUUAAGGGGUUUUCUAACUUCUGCUGGUAUCCAAAUUGCCAAUGCACUACAAGUUUAUGCACUCCUUGUCUCAAUCCAUUUACCCACUUCCAUCUCUAUCAUGCAUUACAAAGCACACACCUACUCAUAGGACCCCAUUUCACUUUGUAAUAAUUAUGCUGAUCGAAUUGCUUAGCAUGCAGAUUCUCUGCCACUUAUCCUUCUCUCAGUCACCCCCACUCACAAACCUCACCCUCUUGACAAUACAUUGUGUUCUCUUGACACUUACCUUACUGAACAAAUUGUUCACCUCUGGACUAGUCUUGGUCUUACCUGUGACUCUUUUGGUAUCUGGUUCACUCCAGAUGGACGCCCUGCUCUACCUCAACCACACCUCUCUCUUAUGCUAUCCUUUCUGCAUAAACUGAGGUACCACACAACUUGCUGAAACCCUUAACAGAUACUAGUUUGCCCCCCAGUAUCCAUCAAGCUGCAAAAUGAGUUGUAUUGAAUUGUGUGACUUGUGCUCAAUUCAAUCCAAGGGGGGAACCUAAAGGCCCACCAGGCGGACGCCCAUGGACAUUUCAACCUUUUGAACGUUUACAAAUUGACUUUUCUGACAUACCUCCCUGUAGGGGUUUCAAACAUUUACUUGUGAUUGUGGACCAACUUACUGGAUGGGUUGAGGCCUUUCCUACUAUAACUGUGAAAGCCCAAGAAGUUGCCAAGUGGAUGCUAAAAGAACUUAUACCCAGGUUUGGCCUCCCCAGAAAAUUGAAUCUGACAGAGGAACACAUUUUACAAGUAAUAUUACUCAGCAACUGACAUUAGCCUUAGGCUUUACUUGGCAUCUCCAUAUCCCUUGGCAUCCAGAAAGCUCAGGCCAAGUGGAAAGAAAGAACCAGACCCUAAAACAGACUAUUGCUAAAAUUUGUUCUCAAGCAAGCCUUAAAUGUGUAGAUGCUUUGCCCCUAGCACUCGCACAAACUAUAGGGGGACCCUCAAACUUUCACCAUAUGAACUGUUGUUUGGUAGGCCACCUCUUUUGUAUAGUGUAUAGUGCCAACACCUUACACCUGCCUGACCUUGUGGUGGGUGAUGUACAACUAACUGCCUAUCUUUUGCAACUGCAAAAGCAAUUACAUUCUCUCCACAGACAGGCCUCUCUCUCUCAGCCUUUGCCAUUGGAUGUGACUGCACAUCCCUUCCAGUCAGGUGACUUUAUUUUAGUCAAGACCUAUCAAAAGAAGCCACUGCAGCCUCUCUGGUCCUUACAGGUCCUUACUGGUUUUGCUGACUACUCCAACAAUUAUCAAAGUUGCCGAGGUCAACUCUUGGAUCCAUUACUCCAGGUGUAAAUGAUACAGCCCAGACAAAGAAGCAGCAUGCAACGGACCAAAGAAAGAAGAAGCUGGGGCAACCAAGGCCUCUGAAGAAGGGGUAACCAAGACCCCUAACAACGAGUGGUUAAUUAAGACCCUUGCUGGUUUGAAACUCCAACUAACCAGAAAUAGUGAGAUCUCACUAACUGAAUGAGUGAAACUGAAAGAUUUGUCUUCCUUACUCUUAUUUUCAUUGUCUCACUCCUCUGUUGAUAUCUUGAGUAACAUUCCUCAAUAUGUCUCCUUUGUUUUGUGUCACACUUUUGACCAUGCUCUCUUACUCUAUUUCCCAAUAUGUGUCUCCUGGUCAGUGUGUUUGUUCUAACCCCUUUACUAAAUAAUCUUGUUCUGGUAACCUUGUAUCUGUGGCAGUUUUCCCUCCCACUACUAGCUGCCCCAACAAGCAAUUAUACUCAAAGUUCACAAUAAAAGUCCUAAGGGUUUUGUUAUCCAGUCUAUUUGCAUAGCCCCCACUACUGAAUGUGGUUUGAAAAAUAUGGAGUGGGUAGCUGAGAAACAAAAGUCACCCCUCCUUUCUUUGUGUUCCCAUAUAACUACCUUUGCCACAAUCCAUUUUACCCCCAUUAUUCUUUUCCCCGUAAUGAUAAUUUACCUAAUGCCCAAUUGUCCUCAGAGAACGGUCCCUUAGGUGAAUAGGGACUAAAAUUACAUGUGGUCCUACUCCAAACUAUAGCCAAUCACACAAGAUGUGAUUGAUGACAAAUUUUGCCUUGGAGGUAUUUUUGACCAUCUCUUUUAUUGGCUAACUAAUUUGGGAUGGUUACGCUCCCUUUUUCUGUAUGGCAUUGUUAUUAUAGUAUGCCUUAUCCUGAUGUGUUGCUGUAUACAAUGUGUACUUGGUUUAAUUUCUACAUGCAAGAGUGUUUUCUCUGUGUCUCAUUCUUCCCCCAAAUACUUAAAUCUCUCUUGACCCUGACUUGUUCUGAGUUCACCUACUUCUCUCCUGCUCUAUGUCUCUUUUGACCUCUUGAUCUUACAAUGUUAUUGCCUAACCACCAGCUGUGCCCUAAAUGUCCCUGUCUUAUCCCUAUGCAGGAUGCACUACGUCCCUAGGAUCGUCUAGAACUUUCAUACAUUGGGAAACUGGCCACUUGACAGACCAUGGAGCAUUAUCUACCUUGAUGGCCACCCCGGUCAUAACCUGUAUACCCAUACCCCACUCCUUUUUUGCUCCCUGGUGGUCCCUAUCUCUUCUGUCUUUCUGUGUUGUUUUAAUUUUUGCUUUCAUAUUGCAUUACCUUAUACUUACACUCUCUAUAUUUCCUUCACAGGUGCAGAAUUCCUUCACCUCCCAAACAUGAAAUGAUACUGCCUGACAGUAUCAUGGCACUAUUCGCCAUCAACUCUGCAAGAAUGAUGGGGAUUGUUAAUUGUUGUUAAUGAAUCUGGGAGGGGAUGUUUCUGCACUAUGUCA